AAACAAUUGUAUUCAAUGGAAGGUAGAGAUGCUCUUUCAUUUAGAUGGAAAAUCAAAUUAUAAAGAUCAUUCACUACAGGAAGGCAGCUGCAAUAAACAUCCAACUGAUUCAACUGCAGAGAUGUAGGAGAAAAAAGAAAGAAGGAGAGCAAAAUGACUUAAAGACAUUUUCAAGAAAAAAAGAGGAGAGAAGUCACUGAAAUGGAAAAAUAAACAUAUUAUAUAACUAUUUAUUGCACUAUGCAAUAAAAACAUCUUCAGCAACAGCCACACAAGUGCGGGUAGAGGGUCUGCUUUGAAGAGAGAAAAAAGGCUGCUGCAGAAAAAACAAACCUCAAUUCAUAAUUGGAGCUUUUGUUCUUUCUGGAUUGUUUUGUGAAGAACAUGCUGCCAAAAAACAUUUUUCUUCUGUAACCGCUUCUUUUGAAACUCCAUUCUUUUUUAUUUCAAGGAUGUUUAUUAUCUACUCAUUUCUUUUUAUUUAUUUUUGAAUCAUAUACCCCAAUGUCUAGAUGACUGGGACCACUAGGUUUCAUAUUUCCCAGAUGAGAUUAGUUGUACAGUUCAUUUUGCAGGUUUAUUCAGAGCAUUUCAAUGGCAUUUCACCUACAGUUCACCUAUAUUGAGUCCUAAGAAAUUGAAGGUGUUUCUUGAUAGUUCUCCUGCUCCAUCUUCUUCCAGGGGAUUGAUUUGGCUUCUUAUGUUUUUGUAUUUGGUUGCUCAUUAGAGAUAAGCCUGAUUAUUUGGCAUUGUGUAUUUUCUCUGUUUUAAAAAGGGAAAAUACAACAUGUUAUUAAUUAUUAUGAUAUAAUAAAAAAUGGAGAGAAGGAAAAAGAUUUUCAUCCU
rnacentral:lncRNA from 1 species